rnacentral:rRNA from 1 species
GACGAACGCUGGCGGCGUGCUUAACACAUGCAAGUCGAACGGAAAGGCCCCUUUGGGGUUCCUCGAGUGGCGAACGGGUGAGUAACACGUGAGUAACCUGCCCUUGACUUCGGGAUAACUUCAGGAAACUGGGGCUAAUACCGGAUAGGAAUCCUUGCUGCAUGGUGGGGGUUGGAAAGCUUCGGCGGUUUUGGAUGGACUCGCGGCUUAUCAGCUUGUUGGUGGGGUAGUGGCUUACCAAGGCUUUGACGGGUAGCCGGCCUGAGAGGGCGACCGGCCACAUUGGGACUGAGAUACGGCCCAGACUCCUACGGGAGGCAGCAGUGGGGAAUAUUGCACAAUGGGCGGAAGCCUGAUGCAGCAACGCCGCGUGCGGGAUGACGGCCUUCGGGUUGUAAACCGCUUUCAGCAGGGGCGAAGCUUGUGGUGACGGUACCUGCAGAAGAAGCACCGGCUAACUACGUG